CAUGGCAUUGUAUUGAAAGUUACGGCGGCGACGGAUUGGCUCGCGUCCGAUUAGCUGGUUGGCGGGGUAACGGCCCACCAAGGCUACGAUCGGUAGGGGUUCUGAGAGGAAGGCCCCCCACAAUGGGACUGAGACACGGCCCAUACUCCUACGGGAGGCAGCAGUGAGGAGUAUUGGUCAAUGGGCGGAAGCCUGAACCAGCCAUGCCGCGUGCGGGAAGGAGGCCCUAUGGGCUGUGAACCGCUUUUGCCUGGGGGCAAUAAGGGCGUCGCGCACGUCCGAUGAGAGUACCAGGCGAAUAAGCAUCGGCUAACUCCGUGCCAGCAGCCGCGGUAAUACGGGGGAUGCGAGCGUUAUCCGGAUUCAUUGGGUUUAAAGGGUGCGUAGGCUGUGCGUCAAGUCGGGGGUGAAAUUCCGGUGCUCAACACCGGGGCUGCCCUUGAUACUGUCGCGCUGGAGUGCGGAUGCCGCCGGAGGAAUGAGUGGUGUAGCGGUGAAAUGCUUAGAUAUCACUCAGAACACCGAUUGCGAAGGCAUCUGGCGAAUCCGUAACUGACGCUGAGGCACGAAAGCGUGGGGAUAGAACAGGAUUAGAUACCCUGGUAUUCCACGCCGUAAACGAAGAUGGCUAACCGCCGGCGACACACUGUCGGUGGCCAAG
rnacentral:rRNA from 1 species